rnacentral:rRNA from 1 species
UACGUAGGGUGCAAGCGUUAAUCGGAAUUACUGGGCGUAAAGCGUGCGCAGGCGGCUUUGCAAGCCAGAUGUGAAAUCCCCGGGCUUAACCUGGGAACUGCAUUUGUGACUGCAUGGCUAGAGUGCGGCAGAGGGGGAUGGAAUUCCGCGUGUAGCAGUGAAAUGCGUAGAUAUGCGGAGGAACACCGAUGGCGAAGGCAAUCCCCUGGGCCUGCACUGACGCUCAUGCACGAAAGCGUGGGGAGCAAACAGG